rnacentral:snRNA from 1 species
AAAUUUACCUGGCAGGGGAAAUACCAUGAUCACGAAGAUGGUUUUCCCCGGGCAAGGCUUAUCCCCUGCACUCCAGAUGUGCUGACCCCUGCGAUUUCCCCAAAUGUGGGAAACUCAACUGCAUAAUUUGUGUUAGUAGGGGACUGCGUUCAUGCUUUCCCCUG